GCGUCGAAACAUCGAUUCCCGUACGAUCAACGAAGUUAAGCAUCAUCGACCUUGGGUAGUACUUAAAUGGGUAAACGCUUGGGAAUACCACG